AACGAACGCUGGCGGCAUGCCUAACACAUGCAAGUCGAACGAGACCUUCGGGUCUAGUGGCGCACGGGUGCGUACCGCGUGGGAACCUGCCCUUAGGUUCGGAAUAACUCCCCGCAAGGGGUGCUAAUACCGGAUAAUGUCUUCGGACCAAAGAUUUAUCGCCUUUGGAUGGGCCCGCGUUGGAUUAGCUAGUUGGUAGGGUAAAAGCCUACCAAGGCGACGAUCCAUAGCUGGUCUGAGAGGAUGAUCAGCCACACUGGGACUGAGACACGGCCCAGACUCCUACGGGAGGCAGCAGUGGGGAAUAUUGGACAAUGGGCGAAAGCCUGAGCCAGCAAUGCCGCGUGAGUGAUGAAGGCCUUAGGGUUGUAAAGCUCUUUUACCCGGGAUGAUAAUGACAGUACCGGGAGAAUAAGCGCCGGCUAACUCCGUG
rnacentral:rRNA from 1 species